rnacentral:rRNA from 1 species
UCGAAGAGUAUGACUUCACAUCGCCACGG